GUACAGUGUUUACAUAGAACUUUUGGUCCAAGUCACAUUAAGAGGACUGUUUGUAAAAAGUGCUCAGAUAGAAACACAAUCAAUGGCUGGAAGUCAUUCUUUGGCUCUUGCAAAUGGUAGUUUUUAAAACCAAAGUACUCAACAGAAAGGGAUCAGUCAAUUGUGUUAUUGUAUAACUCACAGUAAAAUAUUUACGAAGCCAUUAAAAUCUCUGACAGAUAAAUAUUGACCUAGAAAAAGUUCUAUAUUGUUAUGGAGAGACCAUGGUGACUAUAAAUUAGCUACAUCAAUAAAUUUUACUAAAUAUAAGAAACAAAUAGCAUAUAUACAUGACCAUGUUGGGUUUUGUUUUUUGUUUAUUUGGUUUUUCCAGGACAGCCAAGACUAUACAGAGAAACCCUGUCUCGAAAAACCAAAAACCAAACAAACAAACAAGCAAAAAAAAAAAAAAAAAAAAAAUUUGAUAAUUUGAUGUGCUGUCCUCUAUAUACCAUGCAUAUCAAAGAAAAUGAUAUCCAGUUGCCCUUUAUUAACAUGAAAUUUAAAAUAAGUGAUAGGAGUAUAAGAUUUUUUUUUUGCCUUGGAAAAUAACUUUUUAUUAAGAUAUUAUUGCAGACAGCUUAUGACUGGUGAGCACUUGAGGUUCGCAUCGUUUCUGUUUUUGAGUCAGGGUCUCACUGUGCACCUACAUUGUCCCCAACAUCAUGAUCAUCCUGCCCCAGUCUCUUGAAUUCCAUGAUUAUAGGACAGAGUCGCUGCACCUGACCGUGCCUUGUUUUUAAUCUGUAAAUAAACACCUUUCCAUUUUCUCAGUGUUGGCUUACAGAUACGGUAAAUGUCAGUAGCCCAUGUAAAUAGAAGCACUUGGCUUCUUAAGUUUGACGCGUUUAUGCCAGAUCCCGAAAGCUGGAAGCUGCCUCUGAAAGGCGCCCCCAUAUGCUGACCACAGCUGACUGCUUUUAUUAUCUGCUCGGUGACUUCACUAGCCGCUGGUUAACCUUUUAGCUGAUCUGAUUUUAUGCGACCUGAAAAUAAAACGCAGUAAUGUGUACUUCGCUUUUAGGAAGUAAACUUCUAUAUUGAAAGAACGUUUUUAGAGUAGCUUUGAUUUUGAGUUAUAUACUUAGAAUUUGAAUUAUUCUAAUAAGCUAUGUUAGUAACAAGUUAAAAACUCAUUCUUACUGAAUGCUGGAUUUGCCCUGGCUAUUCAUGGACAUUUGUUUAUUUAGUAUGUUGUUGUUUGUUUGAAAGGGAUUUGCUGUUGGCUACCUGAGAUUGAAGCAGAUGCUACAGGUUAAUUUUGUAUGCUUGUAUAGAUCCCGUCUCUACUUCCUGAGCAUCAUUAUGUCAUUCCCUUACACUUGCCCCUGCACCCACUCCCUCGCUUUGCCAAGCUGCUUUUUGUGCAGCUUGCGUGGAAUCAUGCAAAGGGUGUGUCAAAGACCAUGGGAAAUUUUUAUCUGAAAGUACUUUGAAUCUAGUAUUUCAUGCUUUUAGCCUCCAGAAAGCAAAUCUCACAACACAGUCAUCAUUUUCUGAUUCUUGGCUUGUUGUUGUGUUGUUGUUGUUGUUGCAUAGCAAAUAUAUAUAUGGCUUCAAGUAAUGAAUGUUGUUUACUUUUGAUUAUUUCUGCUGUUAGUUGAGCCUCCCCCACCCGUACUCCUCCUUGAUGGUGCUGGGAUCACAGUGAGAGACUUGAGUAAGAUAGGCAAGCACUGUCUCUGAACUACAGCCCUACCUUCUUUACUUACUCUUGAUUCCUUUGAAAAUGUCAAUAUUAUAGUCAGUAAAAUUCACAAAAAAGCAAGGUCACCGUGGUAUAGUGACUCAAAAAACCAAGGAAGAGGAAUCAGAGCUACCCUACAUCUUGCUAAUUACUAAAAUGUGUGGAAAAAUAAUUCGUUGGGCAUGACUGUAUCAAGCUGGAAUGCUAGGGUAAUGAUUUGUAAUUAAAAUAAUGUCAGCAUUACAUUAUUUUAAUGAAGUGUUGAAUUACUACUGUGUAUGACAUUUUUCUUCUUCAAUUUUUUUUCACAAGAUACAUAAAGCCUUACAUAACAGCAAUCUUAGCAUAAGUACCCUUAUUACUUGAAACAAAAUAUAUGGUAAAAAUAAGGUUAUGUUUCUUCAGAUGUAAACUCAGUGACUACAGUCUAGAGGCUAUGGGGAGCUAACUCUCCACCAGUGGCAAAGCAAAAAGGUUGGGAACCGGUCUGUCAGUCUCUGAACACAGUGGAGCCCAUAGGGAACCGGUCUGUCAGUCUCUGAACACAGUGGAGCCCACACACGGUUGACAGGGCAGACAGUUGCUUACAGCAGGUGGCAUUAUCCCAGAGUAUCAAGGCCUCUUAUUCUGAAGUUAUUCACAUCACUUACAUCAUUAAAAUAGACAAAGACUGCUGAAUUUUAUUCCAGGGAAAUCGCCUAAUAGGUUCAAGGAAAUUGCCAGUAAGCUCCAACUGAUUGUAUACCAAUGAUCUUGAGGUUUAAAAUUUUAAAACAUAGUAUAG
rnacentral:lncRNA from 1 species